GCGGGUGUAGUUUAGUGGUAAAACCACAGCCUUCCAAGCUGUUGAUGAGGGUUCGAUUCCCUUCACCCGCUCCA
rnacentral:tRNA from 4 species